rnacentral:rRNA from 1 species
GUUUUUUCGGAAGACACGAGUGGCGCACGGGUGAGUAACGCGUACGCAAUCUACCUCUAUCAGGGGGAUACACACGGGAAACUGUGGAUAAUCCCGCAUACAAUUCAUUACUGGCAUCAGUGAUGGAUAAAAGUUACGGCGGAUAGAGAUGAGCGUGCGUCUGAUUAGCUAGUUGGUGAGGUAACGGCUCACCAAGGCGACGAUCAGUAGGGGGCGUGAGAGCGUGAUCCCCCACACGGGUACUGAGACACGGACCCGACUCCUACGGGAGGCAGCAGUAAGGAAUAUUGGUCAAUGGGCGGAAGCCUGAACCAGCCAUGCCGCGUGCGGGAAGAAGGCCCUCCGGGUUGUAAACCGCUUUUGUCAGGGAAGAAUGGACGGGAUUUAUCCUGUUAGGGACGGUACCUGAAGAAUAAGCACCGGCUAACUCCGUGCCAGCAGCCGCGGUAAUACGGAGGGUGCAAGCGUUAUCCGGAAUCACUGGGUUUAAAGGGUACGUAGGCGGUUUUAUAAGUCAGGUGUGAAAUACCGCGGCCUAACUGCGGAACUGCACUUGAUACUGUAAAACUUGAGUAGGGUGGAGGUACACGGAAUGCAUCAUGUAGCGGUG